AGUGAACGCUGGCGGUAGGCCUAACACAUGCAAGUCGAACGGCAGCACAGUAAGAGCUUGCUCUUACGGGUGGCGAGUGGCGGACGGGUGAGGAAUACAUCGGAAUCUACUUUUUCGCGGGGGAUAACGAAGGGAAACUUACGCUAACACCGCAUACGACCUACGGGUGAAAGCAGGGGAUCUUCGGACCUUGCGCGAUUGAAUGAGCCGAUGUCGGCUUAGCUAGUUGGCGGGGUAAAGGCCCACCAAGGCGACGAUCCGUAGCUGGUCUGAGAGGAUGAUCAGCCACGCUGGAACUGAGACACGGUCCAGACUCCUACGGGAGGCAGCAGUGGGGAAGAUAGGACAAUGGGCGCAAGCCUGAUCCAGCCAUACCGCGUGGGUGAAGAAGGCCUGCGGGUUGUAAAGCCCUUUUGUUGGGAAAGAAAAGCAGCAGGUUAAUACCCCGCUGUUCUGACGGUACCCAAAGAAUAAGCACCGGCAAACUUCGU
rnacentral:rRNA from 1 species